UUCAGGUUGAUCCUGCCGGAGGUUACUGCUAUCUGAAUCCGAUUAAGACAUGCGAGUCAAUGCCGCAAGGCAUGGCGAACUGCUCAGUAACACGUAGCUAACAUGCCCUUGGAACCGGGAUAAUCCCGCGAAAGUGGGGCUAAUACCAGAUAGUUGAUGGAGGCUGGAAUGCGCCAUCGACCAAAGGCCCGCAAGGGCGUCCAAGGAUUGGGCUGCGGCCGAUCAGGCUGUUGUGAGGGUAAAGUCCUCACAAACCUAUAACCGGUAAGGGCCAUGAAAGUGGGGGCCCUGAGAUGGAUUCUGAGACAUGAAUCCAGGUCCUACGGGACGCAGCAGUUACGAAAACUUCGCAAUGCGCGCAAGCGCGACGAGGGGAUUCGGAGUGUUACGACUUUUUGUCGUAUCUUUUACCAAGGUUAAGGCCCUUGGUGAAUAAGUGGUGGGCAAGACGAGUGCCAGCCGCCGCGGUAAUACUCGCGCCACGAGUGGUGACCACGAUUAUUUGGCCUAAAGUGUCCGUAGCUGGUUCGGUAAGUCUCCGGUGAAAUCUCAUAGUUGACUAUGAGGCGUGCUGGGGAUACUGCUGAACUUGGGACCGGGAAAGGG
rnacentral:rRNA from 1 species